AGUUUACAAGUACCCGCGAGGGAACGGUGAAAAGCACUCUGAUAUGAGGUGAAAAGCGUCUAAAACUGUAUAGCGUAUAUCGUAACGAUACACAUCAAACACACACGGACGCGCAGGUGGGUAAACCGCUAUUAUACGUGCCGGUGUGAUACUACUAGCCCGAAAGGGUGAUUACAAAAUGGCUUUAUCGCCUAUGAUAUGAGUAAUAUAGUCAGCAAACGUACGAGAAGGAUAGUUGUUAAAGGCCGUCAGUCUUAAUACGGUUGAGGAUUAUGUUGCAAGUAGUUAUGGCAUGCCAUUCAGUAGUGUUAAUAUCGUAUGUGUUGGUUACGUCCCGUCUUGAAACACGGACCAAGGAGUCUAA
rnacentral:rRNA from 1 species